GCCCGCUUGGCUUAGUGGUAAAGCGUAUCACUAGUAGGGAGACCUCAUGAUAUGAUAAGAUCGUCAGUUCGAUUCUGACAGUGGGCA
rfam:Magnaporthe poae ATCC 64411 unplaced genomic scaffold supercont1.3, whole genome shotgun sequence.